rnacentral:rRNA from 1 species
GACGAACGCUGGCGGCGUGCUUAACACAUGCAAGUCGAACGGAAAGGCCCUGCUUUUGUGGGGUGCUCGAGUGGCGAACGGGUGAGUAACACGUGAGUAACCUGCCCUUGACUUUGGGAUAACUUCAGGAAACUGGGGCUAUUACCGGAUAGGAGCUCCUGCUGCAGGGUGGGGGUUGGAAAGUUUCGGCGGUUGGGGAUGGACUCGCGGCUUAUCAGCUUGUUGGUGGGGUAGUGGCUUACCAAGGCUUUGACGGGUAGCCGGCCUGAGGGGGUGACCGGCCACAUUGGGACUGAGAUACGGCCCAGACUCCUACGGGAGGCAGCAGUGGGGAAUAUUGCACAAUGGGCGGAAGCCUGAUGCAGCAACGCCGCGUGCGGGAUGACGGCCUUCGGGUUGUAAACCGCUUUCGCCUGUGACGAAGCGUGAGUGACGGUAAUGGGUAAAGAAGCACCGGCUAACUACGUG